GAUGAAGAACGCAGCGAAAUGCGAUACGUAAUGUGAAUUGCAAAUUCAGUGAAUCAUCGAGUCUUUGAACGCACAUUGCGCCCCCUGGUAUUCCGGGGGGCAUGCCUGUCCGAGCGUCAUUGCUGCCUCAAGCACGGCUUGUGUGUUGGGCCCCGUCCUCCGAUCCCGGGGGACGGGCCCGAAAGGCAGCGGCGGCACCGCGUCCGGUCCUCGAGCGUAUGGGGCUUUGUCACCCGCUCUGUAGGCCCGGCCGGCGCUUGCCGAUCAACCCAAAUUUUUAUCCAGGUUGACCUCGGAUCAGGUAGGGAUACCCGCUGAACUUAAGCAUAUCAAUAAGCGGAGA
rnacentral:misc_RNA from 1 species